GCAGCCGCGGUAAUACGGAGGGAGCGAGCGUUGUUCGGAAUCACUGGGCGUAAAGAGUACGUAGGCGGUUUUGCAAGUCGGGAGUGAAAGCCCAGGGCUUAACCUUGGAAUUGCUCUCGAAACUGUGAAACUAGAGUCCCGGAGAGGUUGGCGGAAUUCCGAGUGUAGAGGUGAAAUUCGCAGAUAUUCGGAGGAACACCAGUGGCGUAAGCGGCCAACUGGACGGGAACUGACGCUGAGGUACGAAAGCGUGGGGAGCAAA
rnacentral:rRNA from 1 species